UACGUAGGGGGCGAGCGUUGUCCGGAUUUAUUGGGCGUAAAGAGCUCGUAGGCGGUUCGAUAAGUCGGACGUGAAAUCUCCACGCUCAACGUGGAGGGGCCGUUCGAUACUGUCGUGACUCGAGUCCGGUAGGGGAGUGUGGAAUUCCCGGUGUAGCGGUGAAAUGCGCAGAGAUCGGGAGGAACACCCGUAGCGAAGGCGGCACUCUGGGCCGGCACUGACGCUGAGGAGCGAAAGCGUGGGGAGCAAACAGG
rnacentral:rRNA from 1 species